rnacentral:rRNA from 1 species
UGGGGAAUAUUGCACAAUGGGGGAAACCCUGAUGCAGCGACGCCACGUGGGCGACGAAGCGCUCCGGCGCGUAAAGCCCUGUCAGCAGGGAAGAAAAAAGACAGUACCUGACCAAGAAGCCCCGGCUAACUACGUGCC